rnacentral:misc_RNA from 1 species
UGCAUAACUCCAUUCUCAUGACACAUCCUGACAACCUCAGCUAUCGUUCUGGCAACAUUUGCCGCCGCUCUCUCACUGUAAUGCCCUCUGGCCACUAUCCUGUCGAAAAGCUCCCCUCCCUCGCAUAACUCCAUUACCAAAUGCACGUUUUCAUUGUCCUCGUAAGUCGCCUUCAGCUUCACUACAUUCGGGUGGUCCGGUAAACUGGACAUAAUCGCGACUUCCCUUCUCACGUCCUCUAUGUCCACCGCCGUCCGUAGUUUUCGCUUGGAAAUCGACUUGCAUGCCAACGCAUCUUUAGUCUCUCGGUCAGUACACAAAUAAGUGAUGCCGAAUUCUCCCCGGCCGAGUUCUCGCCCCAGGAUGUACUUGUCGCCGAUCUGAGGCCGGUGACUGAGUGGGAUCACGUCUUUCAAUACCCGGAUCGGAGCAGCCGGGGAUUGGAUAGAUUCUUCAGCGUAGGGAUUGGGCGUCCGCUCUUUAGACUUCUUCUUGCGUCUGUGAUUAGUACGGUGCGUCUCGGAGUCAGGGCUGGAGUCUGGUCUCACACAGGCGUUACAGUUUCCCAUGCUCUGUGUUGCUUAAAAGGCUUGAGAGAAAACAAAACAAAACAAAAAGGAAGACAGGCGCAAGUUGGUUCUGGGUCGUGACGAGAGAUGGGUUUUGGCCUUUCUGGGCGGUGAGCGGUGGUGUAGAAGGUCCGGCAGGAAAUGAUUGGGUUAAGUGGGAUGAAGAGGGACGAGGGGGGAGAAGAAAACGCGGGUUCAGUUGAGAAAAAGUGGGCCGUUUGAAAAAUCAGUGUAAUCACUAAUCGCCUUCUUCUAUGGUUAAUGAGACUUUGGUUAAUAUAUUUACCAAAAAAUUAUCUAUUGGUACAUAAG